GCCUUCGUAGUGUAGUGCUCAGCACACUCGGGCGUUUUUGAGAGGUCCGAGGUUCGAGUCCCAGCGACGGCA
rnacentral:tRNA from 1 species